rnacentral:rRNA from 1 species
CCAGACUCCUACGGGAGGCAGCAGUGGGGAAUAUUGGACAAUGGGGGGAACCCUGAUCCAGCGACGCCGCGUGAGUGAAGAAGUAUUUCGGUAUGUAAAGCUCUAUCAGCAGGGAAGAAAGAAAUGACGGUACCUGACUAAGAAGCCCCGGCUAACUACGUGCCAGCAGCCGCGGUAAUACGUAGGGGGCAAGCGUUAUCCGGAUUUACUGGGUGUAAAGGGAGCGUAGACGGCACUGCAAGUCCGGAGUGAAAGCCCAAGGCUUAAUCAUGGGACUGCUCUGGAAACUGUGGAGCUUGAGUGCGGGAGGGGCAGGCGGAAUUCCUGGUGUAGCGGUGAAAUGCGUAGAUAUCAGGAGGAACACCGGCGGCGAAGGCGGCCUGCUGGACCGCGACUGACGUUGAGGCUCGAAAGCGUGGGGAGCGAACAGGAUUAGAUACCCGCGUA